rnacentral:rRNA from 1 species
CCUACGUGCGACAGCAGUGAGGAAUAUUGGUCAAUGGGCGAGAGCCUGAACCAGCCAAGUCGCGUGAGGGAGUACUGCCCUAUGGGUUGUAAACCUCUUUUGUCGGGGAGCAAAAGCCGGACGUGUCCGGCUGUGAGAGUACCCGAAGAAAAAGCAUCGGCUAACUCCGUGCCAGCAGCCGCGGUAAUACGGAGGAGGCAAGCGGUAUCCGGAUUGAUUGGGUUAAAAGGGUGCGCAGGCGGAGUUUUAAGUCAGCGGUCAAAUCGUGGGGCUAAACCCCAUCCAGCCGUUGAAACUGGUGCUCUAGAGUGUGCGAGAGGUAUGCGGAAUGCGUGGUGUAGCGGUGAAAUGCAUAGAGAUCACGCAGAAUCCCGAUUGCGAAGGCAGCAUACCGGUGCACAACUGACGCUCAGGCACGAAAGCGUGGGUAUCGAACAGGAUUAGAUACCCCAGUAGUC